CAUCAUCUGCACUUCUCUUCCGGCUGGUUGUAUUUACUGCAUUAGACAUUCUGUAUCCUGUUGAUACCUUCAUGUUGAUGCGGCCUCAUUUAAUACAAGAUUUGUUCAUUCAUACAUUUAAAGGUAGUUUGCAAGUUUAAAUAUGAAUGUCUCUUAUCUUUUCCCAGUUUAAAUAUGAAUAUCUUUAUCUUUUGUCAACUCCAGAGGCUAUAUUGUUGUUGAAAGUGGGAAAAAGAGUUAUUACAAUACGAAAUUUCUUUAUUUUUACUGGCCAUCGUACUGUGGGAC
rnacentral:lncRNA from 1 species